GACGAACGCUGGCGGCGUGCUUAACACAUGCAAGUCGAACGGUAAGGCCCUUCGGGGUACACGAGUGGCGAACGGGAGAGUAACACGUGGGUGAUCUGCCCUGCACUUCGGGAUAAGCCUGGAAACUGGGUCUAAUACCGGAUAGGACCACUGCCUGCAUGGGUGGUGGUGGAAAGCUUUUGCGGUGUGGGAUGGGCCCGCGGCCUAUCAGCUUGUUGGUGGGGUGAUGGCCUACCAAGGCGACGACGGGUAGCCGGCAUGAGAGGGUGACCGGCCACACUGGGACUGAGAUACGGCCCAGACUCCUACGGGAGGCAGCAGUGGGGAAUAUUGCACAAUGGGCGCAAGCCUGAUGCAGCGACGCCGCGUGAGGGAUGACGGCCUUCGGGUUGUAAACCUCUUUCAGCACCGACGAAGCGCAAGUGACGGUAGGUGCAGAAGAAGGACCGGCCAACUACGUGCCAGCCGCCGCGGUAA
rnacentral:rRNA from 1 species